rnacentral:lncRNA from 1 species
GAGGCCCCUCGCAAAGUCUCGCGGCAUUCCGAGUCCGGCGGACGAAGUGGGCCAGCCCCACCCCCCAAGGCUAUAGCCCACCCGUUUUUGUGGCCUUUUUCCGCUGAACGAACUUGGCGUCCCGGCCUUCGGGCGGUUAUUUUUGGGCGCGGCUUUGUCCGCGGCCUAUUUUUGGCACACGGAGGCCGCUCAUAAAGUCUCGCGGCAUUCCGAGUCCGGCGGACAAAGUAGGCCAGCCCCACCCCCCAAGGCUAUAGCCCACCCGUUUUUGUGGCCUUUUUCCGCUGGACGAAUUUGGCGCCCCGGCCUUCGGGCGGUUAUUUUCGGGGAGGGCUUUGCCCGUGGCCUAUUUUUAUCACACGGAGGCCCCUCGCAAAGUCUCGCGGCAUUCCGAGUCCGGCGGACGAAGUUGGCCAGCCCCACCCCCCAAGGCUAUAGCCCACCCGUUUUUGUGACGUUUUUCCGCUGGACGAACUUGGCGCCCCGGCCUUCGGUUGGUUAUUUUUGGGUGUGGCAUUGGCCGCGGCCUAUUUUUGGCACACGGAGGCCCCUCGCAAAGUCUCACGGCAUUCCGAGUUCGGCGGACGAAGUUGGCCAGCCCCACCCCCCAAGGCUAUAGCCUACCCGUUUUUGUGGCCUUUUCUCGUUGGACGAACUUGGCGCCCCGGCCUUCGGGCGGUUAUUUUUGGGCAAGGCUUUGCCCGUGGCUUAUUUUUAUCACAAGGAGGCCCCUCGCAAAGUCUCGCGGCAUUCCGAGUCCGGCGGACGAAGUUGGCCAGCCCCACCCCCCAAGGCUAUAGCCCACCCGUUUUUGUGGCCUUUUUCCGCUGGACGAACUUGGCGCCCCGGUCUUCGGGCGGUUAUUUUUUGGCAAGGCUUUACCCGCGACCUAUUUUUGGCACACGGAGGCCCCUCGCAAAGGCUCGCGGUAUUCCGAGUCCGGCGG